UCUCUCUCUUCACCCCCCACCCAAUCACUCUCUAUAUCUUCCUACACACAGAUAUCACUAUUAACGCCAGAGCUAAUAAUGCUUGCAAGAUUGGGCUAGGGUUUUGAGGUUACAUGUGGUCCGAUCACCAGCACUGGAGCCAACGUCCCCAAGCUUAGGUAUUCCAUCCAUGGUUAUUGUUUCAAAAACUGCUGGUGAUGUGGAGGACCUACGUGAUAGUCUAAAUGAUCUCUCUAAAUCAAAAGGGACUUUGUUAUCCAAAUUAAUGCCAGCUUGUGCUUGGAUUAAACCAAUUGAUGAUGCAAAGCAAAAGCAUGUGUUUGCAAGAGAGCUAGCAAAAAGGCUGAUAGGAAAAGAAAAUGAUUGGAUUGAUUACAUAAAUUGUGAAAAUUUACAUGUUUCUAUAGUGCACUGCUUUGGAGAUGCCACUUCAUCAUAGAAGCACAAGAAGAAUAGACUCUUAUCCUUGUGACAAAGCACGGCAUCAAUGACAUGGUAGAGGAAAUCCUUGAAAAAUUCCCUAAUGUUGCGUCAUUUGAUGAGAAUGGAAGAAAUAUACUACACAUAGUGGCACAGCUGAAAGAUAGAAUUAUCUAUGACCACUUGAAGAAGACUGUUAAUUACGCAGAUAGAAUUAUGGCCGAUGUUGAUAAUCAUGGGAACACUAUUUUGCAUCUUGCAGCCUACAAGUACAAAAAAGAUCAUUUUCCUCGAAAUCUUUUCGGACCUGUAAACCAAAUGUCAUGGGAUGUGUUUUGGUUUAAGGUACUCUCCCUAGGCUCUAUAUAUUAACUUGCAAUACGAGUAGUAGAGAGCUAAGGAUCCUCUACCAUAAUUUUUCUACAAUGAUUUUGUGCU